UACAGAGGCCUCGAGCGUUAGGCGGAAUCACUGGGCUUAAAGCGUGUGUAGGCGGACUUCUAAGUACCUUGUGAAAUCCCACGGCUCACCCGUGGAACUGCUCGGUAUACUGGUCGUCUUGAGCCGUCUAGGGGCGAGUGGAACAAAUGGUGGAGCGGUGAAAUGCGUAGAUAUCAUGUGGAACGCCAAUGGUGAAAACAACUCGCUGGGGAAGUGCUGACGCUGAGACACGAAAGCCAGGGGAGCGAACGGG
rnacentral:rRNA from 1 species